rnacentral:misc_RNA from 1 species
CGCACAUUGCGCCCGGUAGUACUCUACCGGGCAUGCCUGUUCGAGCGUCAUUUCAACCCUCAAGCUCUGCUUGGUGUUGGGGCCCUACGGCUGCCGUAGGCCCUGAAAGGAAGUGGCGGGCUCGCUACAACUCCGAGCGUAGUAAUUCAUUAUCUCGCUAGGGAGGUUGCGGCGUGCUCCUGCCGUUAAAGACCCAUCUUUAACCAAGGUUGACCUCGGAUCAGGUAGGAAUACCCGCUGAACUUAA